rnacentral:tRNA from 1 species
GUCAUUGUAGCUUAUUUUUAUAAAGCACGGCACUGAAGAUGCUGAGAUGAGGAACAGGAAAACCUCCACAGACA